AGCUCAAAACUGCAGUUCUCCAACCCAUAACAAGGGCAUGUGGUGCGGUGGGUGAAGGUUAAACCUGUCUGCAGGUACAAACCUCACCAGGGCCACCUCACUGAAGGAGGUGAAUUUGGCCAUGACCACUCUGGGGUAACACUACUUCUCCUGCUACCCACAGCAUGUCCCCAGCAUCCUUUCCCUGCUGUGACUUAAUUUGAAGAGUGGAUCACAGAACCAAACACACUGCAGGUACAAGCACUGCUGGUCUCCAAAGGACAGCUGGUAGUACUUCUAGGCAGCUUCUCUCCUCACCGAAACGAUGAGCCCUCCCCUUCCUUAGGUCAUCCUCAAAGAAACUGGAUUUGGAGAUCCUGGACACAGCAGACUUCACUCAUCAGCAAUCAACCUAGGCAGGACUCUGAGAGCAGAGGAAGCCUACUGGAUGGGCCACCAGGAAUAAAGCUUUGGAAUGUCCAAGCCUGGAUUUUAAGGUUAUGGUCCUGCCAGGAGCCUGCUCCAGUGUGGGCUGCCCACGGGGUCACAGCCUCCUUCAGACAACCCCCUAGUCUGGCAUGGGGUCCUCCA